rnacentral:lncRNA from 1 species
UCCUGAAGCUGAACAAAUGGCAAAUGUAAAAGGGAACAGAUACCAGUUUGCAAAAUGGAUGGAAUGGAGACAGAGAAAGCGAAAGAGAGAGAGAAUAAAGAGGAACUAUGUUCAGAGGGUGGGAGUGGUGCAGUAGAAAGAGGUUAUUCAGCAGCCUCUCUUUCCCUACAGGGUGGGUCUGACUGAGAGGAAAUCACCACCGGCCAACUACACAUGGUGGAUUCCUGGCAUUGUGGAGUUAGCAGUUGGGUCUCCACUUGGAAAGAUAGACUGCAAGAAGAGGAGUCUCCAACAGGGCAAAAUGUGGCUGCCAUGCUUGCUGUUUUUGCUUUUCCUGCAUGUGGGGUCUAUUAUGAAUGCUGUUCCAGAUUCUUCAGUGAUUCAAACACCUGCCAAUGUGACUGUGGAGGAAGGAUCAACAGUGAAUAUGCAGUGCAGGUUCAAUGGACCCAGCACCAAAUGGUCUAUUAAAUGGUAUAAAGUUAAAGGCAAUGAACAGGUGGAAUUGCUUAACUCAAGCCUAGUUCACAUAUUUACACAUCUAAAAGACAAAUUAAGUAAUUUGACUUUGAAAUCUGUGGAUUUGAAGGAUACUGGAACUUAUCUGUGUAACGUCAUCGAUGAGAAUUUUCAACAUCUCAAUACUGGGACAAAUGUGACCAUCAUUGAAAUUACCGACUUUGAGGUGAACCAGACUUCUGGACCCAUCCAUGAAGUGGAAGGGGCGGAUGUCACCAUCGAGUGUCGCUUCAGGACAGUCGGCAGGAACAGCAGCAUGUAUGUCAGUUGGGACAAAGAUGGGCUUGCGGUUGAGCAGGCUAACAAGACAGGCUCGUACAGGAUCACUCAGAACCUGAGAGCAGGAUUUGCUUCUCUCACCCUCACAAAUGCUACUGUGAGCGAUUCAGGGUUGUACGUCUGUAACGUUGGGAGAGAACCAAGAAAUCAAACAAAAUCAUCAGGAAUUGCAUCUCAUGUUGUCAUCACAAACCACCAAGGGGGUCUUCCUUUUCCUGUUCCUCUUAAACCAGAACGUGACAAGCAGCCAGAAACUGACAGUGGAAGUCCUGGAGCUGGAAUUGGAGCCGGAAUUGGAGCUGGAGCCGGAGGUGCAGCAGGAAUCCUCCUCCUCUUGUUGCUGCUCAGUGUCUUAGCAUGGAGAUACAAGAAGAGGGCUAAAGAAAGCACAACAGAGACAGAAGCUGCUGCAACCAAAGAAGCAGGAACGCAUCUUCCUUUAACCAGCCGGCAGAAGGAGUUGACCUAUGCCAGCCUUCGUUUCAACAAAAAGGAAGUGGAACCAGAUGCUGGGGUGAUCUAUGCGGAAGUGCGAAGAAAACCGAAACAGCGAGCUGGCAACAGCCAGAUCUAG